AUUACUACCAACGUAAUUUUCUUUCUGCUACGAAAAAAUUUAUCACGGUUUUGAAUUUCUCCGUUGCGAAUGAUACCAGAAUUCUUGGUUUGUUCUUCACUGCUGACUUUUUGGAUUGAACGUUUAUUCAUUUGGUAUCAGGGGUUCAUGGAUACCUAAGGUGGCGUUCAACCCCGGUGAGUGUCUUUGCCGUGAAGGAAGGCAGUUUCGAUUAUUAAAAGACUCAAUCAAUGACAGUUCUAGCACGUAAUUCAACUCAGGGAUAUAGAAGAGAGUGAAUGGUUUGAUAACAGGCAAGGCUUGGAGUUACUCAUGCCGGGUGGUGACCAUUCAGUAUGGGCUUUACCGUCCGGCAGUGAUUUCAAUUGGUAAAUUGAUUUGGAACGGAGGCAAAAAAAAGGCGAUAAAGAAAGAACACCAGGACGAGUGGACGGCAGAGCUGCCGUUAAUAGGGAGUGAACGCCGGUUGAAUGCUUAAUGCACCGCGGUUCUAGGAUUAAAUUGACCAAUCAUUUCCCGCGCGGCAAAGAACGGCCAAUUACAGUGCUCGCCGGACUAUAUUAAGCCAAUCAAGGCUAGUUUAUCACUCAGUUGAGGAUCUGCCUUCGUGCCGUGUGCAUCUUCCUACGUUUUUACGCGCUCUAACACGUUACCCUCGGGGAAGCCAGACACAUUCACGAGCAAAUUCGAAGAUGGAAGGGACCAGGGGAGAGAUGGUGGAAAUCAUUAUGAACAUUCAUUCGUGUUAUUCGUGACCUUAUCCGGCCCUCAACGACAAUCAGUGACUGUCCUCUUCAUUAUUCCUUUUUACCUUUUCAUAUCCUUUCGAAGUUUUAAUAUCCUGCGUGGAUACAUCGUGCUCUGUUAAUUUAUCAUGAUUCAUUUACGGAAUUAUAAAAAACUACACACGACUCGUCUUAUGGGUGUUUGAAAUGUGCUUCGUUAGUUUUUUGAAAAUUCGGAUUUUUAACCUUGAAAAUCGUGAAGCUACGAAUAUAUUUUUCGAAAAUAGUCAAUUUUGAUAUUGUAGUUGAUUGAAAUACUUUGAGAUCAUUUUGAGUUUAAAGUGUUUCUUGAUUAUUUUCACUUUUGAAUAUGUUUGAGUUUGCUUAGGUGGUCAUAUAUUAUAUCGCGGUUACAUAUUAUAUUGUUAUUAACUCUCUAUGCAUCAUAAAUCUUUUACAAUGAAUUCCUUCUUAUACCUGUAUCGUCAUACCCAGCAAACACAUUUGUCACGUUUAUGUAACUUUUGAAUAGCUGAUAAUAUAAUACUAUAGAAUUCAUGUGGUUGAGAUGUAACUGUUGCAAGAUGUGUUUACGGGAUACUGUACGAGUAUUAUUCUUUCGAACGCAUUGAAAACGAAGGUUCAAAGGUCGUGAGAUUUCCCGCGAUUGUUAAUACCAGAAUUCUGUGGUGGUUUCUAAUACAUUUUCCAUUAGAGUGUGCACGACAGGAAAUAAAAAUAAUUCCAAAUUUUUGAGAAUAAAUAUUCAUUCCUUACUAUCCGUCUUUCCCACUUCCUAUUCUCUGCGAGAUAUUACGAAUUGUGCGUGAAUUUGUGAGUGUGGUGCCACGAAUGGUAAGAAUACUUCGUAAUUCCAAAAAAGCCGGAUAAACAACGCGCGGACACGUCAUAAAGAAGUAACACAGUGUGUCGAGUGCCCUUUUGCUAUUUUUUCCACAAACGGCCUAAUGGCGUACGGUUUAAGAAUUUUCAAUGUAGUGUCACAUUUAUCUUAAGAUAAGUUGUCAUUUGCCUUACUAGAAUAUACGUCAUAAAUAAAUGAGUAUAACUCACACGUAUCUCAACAUUUCUCAAGGCGUCUGCAGUAGACAUUGUCAGACGUUAAGUACCCGCAGCGCCUCGUCGGAUUCCCUCACAAUUAAUUCAAAUCUACAGCUGUAACAGACACAAUUAGAAUUUCUACAUUUCUUUCUUCCUCUCUAUGUCUUCUCUGAAAUUCUAGACAAGAUCCGCUAUUACGCGAAUUGUAAGAAACAAAAUACAUCGUAUAAUUCUACGUAUCCUUCUUCCUAUUUAAGGGUAUACAAAUCCUGUACAUAUAUUUAAUAAUAAAAAGGCUCGGAGCAGUCUGCAGUGAAGUCAUACUCAGAAGUGUGUAUCACAUAAUGUUUUGCUGGCGAAGCUACGUUCGUAUCAACAAAGCACAACUUUAUCAGCAUGUUAAUUAGAUCAGGAUGUAUAACACGUGCAGACGAUUUGUCUUUCGGCUUCUCGAAUCUCCUUGUAUCCUCCAUCCUUCUAUGUGGAGUAAUAGAGACACGGGAAAAAAGAUUAAAUCAAUAUUAAUAAUUCAUAUAAAAUUUUUCAAGUUAGUGAAAUCAGUCGAAGGGAGUUUAAGGUUAAUGCUGUUUGUGCACCCGGGACGAAAUCGAGGGUUCAUAAUUAGAUUGCGACAAUUUGUUAUUCUGAAAAUAGUUGCUUUCUAUCUGGUGGUGGUUUAUCGCUGUGACUUCUUAACCUCUCUCCUCAACGAUAUCGCAGAGAAAAAAAGCAAGAAGCUCAAACUGUUGUAACUCUCAUAUGCUGAAGUCUCUCGGUAAAGAAAGACACAUUUGUAUUUAUUUAUGAAAUUAUAAAUGAUGAUUAACCAUUAUAUGAGAAAAAGAAAAUUAUUUUUAUCAUCUAUGCAUUAUAUUUUUUACUCUGGUUUAUAUAUUAGAAAUCACAAUUUCGUAACAAGAAAUUCAUACGACGUGGAUAUUCCAUAUUUUUUUUUUAGUAAUGCUGUAGCACUGCGCUUAAGAAAUUAUAAAAAAUACAAAAUUUCCCCUUUGCUAAUAUGUUUAGUCAUGACUUUCUUGGAGACUUCUUCAUACAAUAAAUAAAGUAGAAAUUACGUAAUUUUGAAUUAAUAUAAAAAAGUUUUCUAUUUGUUUGAAAGUUCGAGAUCCACAAUUACCAAGUGUCAUAGAUAGAUUGACCUUCAUUUUCCAUACUUUCUGCUGACGUCCAAUCUCUAAAGUUCGUCUCACACAGGAAGUACAAAUACAUAUAGAAAAACAUAAGAAAUACAAUCAGUGGAAGAAAAAUAUCACAGAAGAAAGUGUAUUACGAAAAUUGCCGCGAUCAUGUAUGGAGAAGAAAUAAUACGACAUUCCAUGCGUUUUGGAACCUCCAAAAAGUUUCAAGUUCUCACUAUUUCUUUUUCGAGGUCACGAUCUCCGACUGAAUAAUCGUUAUCGAUUUUAUUUUUUUUCCCUUAUCAAUGUCGUAAAACUAUCAUUUGGAUGCUGAUACAAUUCAUAAAGCUAGAAAUAUUUGACAUGUAUUAAAAAAAGAGACCUUUUCCCCCGAUUUCCUUAUCUACGGUCUCUAACCGAAAAUUCAAACCCAUCGAUACAAAAAGUUUCAGUGUAAAAUUGUGCCUCGAUGCCGAUAGCCUUUUUUUAAACGUUUUCCGUAUCUCUCAGAACGGCCACGUACGGCGACCGGCAAUCGCUGAAUAUGAAGGAUACGAACGAGACAUUUUAAAAUUAAAGAUGGAAGCGGCUUUUACGAGUGCACGAGCCAUAAGGGAGUCGCAUUAGUGGGAAUUAGCGUUAAUUGGAGUUCUCUCUCGCACGGUCACUAACGCCGACGGAAUAAACGAAUAGCAUGCAACGUGCAUGCAAUGCAUUAUACAUAGAUGCAGCUGAAUCCGCAAGACCCCGCCCCAUACCCAUAAUCCUCUUAGGCUUGCUGUUUUGCCUUUGAACAUUUUAUUACGAUACACGCCGGUACUAAUUAUGAAUUUAUGAGCCGUAUUUGUAUCGUGAAGAAACAUACCGACUGGGAUGCACGUGAGAAUAUUAAUAUUUGAUUUCGUAGAAGCUAUAAGAUAUACAGAGAAAUAUUGUAUUUUUAUAACAUCGCGCUUCCUGUGCAUACUCAGAUUACUCAUCUAUCGAAAUUUCCAGGAUGUCUACUAUAGCGCGAAUAUAUAUAAGGAAUGCCUAGAAUUAUUUAGGUAUAACGUUAUGAAGUAUGAAUACGUUGCUUGAUGAAACAGAAGACGUUAAACAGAGUCCACAGUAUAGGAAUCAAAGAUCGGACUGUGACGUUUCAUUUUUCCCUCAAUACACUAUUGAAGUUUCUGUAUCACUGCUUGGAAGAGGAAUUCACCAAGAGGGAUAAACAUUCAGAUUUAAUUUCUUCUCUUCCAAAGACCUUUGCGACGCUUGCACUUUUAUAAGAGGGCCCCCGUAGGGACAGAUGGACCAUAUCCAAGACGUCACAUAAGACAGAGGGUCUCAUUCAAGAUGCAUUCCUACUUGAAACACGUUACGUUGGUUUAAUAGCAAUUUGAGUUAGUUACUAAUUUGUAAUCGCAUAAUUUCUUUGAAGCAUUCUGAUAUGUAGAAAUGAAAAUUCAUUGUCUCAUUUACAGUCAUACAAUUUUUAGUAACCUAUCUGAACUAUAUAAUAGGGAUUUUGUAUAGAUUUAAUGUUGUCCUUAUUCCAUCUAAAUGCUAAUUUAAAAUGGAAACUCCAAGCUUAGAGCAGCAACAGGUUGCACGGCCAGACUAAUAUUCGGCAGAAGUCUGGCGCUCUAACGUUAUAACAGAAUCAGCAGUAGGCGGCUUUAAUGACUUCCCAAGGCCGGUUCAAUGAGGGCCACUGUCUGUCAUCAGAUCCUUACAGCAUAGUGCAGCACACUGCCCCUGGUAUGUCUGACGACGAGUGUAAUAAUCUUAUGGCUGCGCAUUGAUAUCAAAGCAUGAUCUUCAAUGGUUUUUCUACGAGUGGCAUGAAACACGUUUUGUCUGUAAUUUCUCUUCAGUGUACAAUAUUUCGGAUGUAAGAUGCGAUGCAUAUAAAAGAAAGAGAAAAAAACGAACGCUCGGCGUAAGACAGUUUUUUCAUAAUUCAGACGAUUUAAAAUAGUUUUAAGCCUUCGUUACUUUACACUUGAAAAAUAAUCGUGGCACGUACUUACCGCAUUUUCCUGUCAAUUAUCCAAUAUCACCUCGAGUUGGCGACGCGUGGGCACAUGCUGGUUUUAUUAGGAUUUCCUUCGUUUCGUCGAUUAAUUACUAAUUCCCGGGAGCCAUUACCUCAGCAUGGUCUCACGCUAUGGUAUGCCUUGUAGAAUAUCAAUUUAAUAAUUAUUACAGUCUAUUAUACAGGGUGAAUGUAAGACCGUUUAACUUAACGAGAUGUCAUUUAUUUUUCAGAUCGCUUAUCAACGAUUAAUUUCUCUUUUUUUUAUGGUUUCUACGCGGAAUCAAGAAACGGCUGAAUGAUGGCCGAUUAUAGUGGUUUACUGAAAUCCUGUCCUGUUCCUAAGUACUAGUGCCGCAGGAGUGACUAGGCUGGGCUAGGAAUUACCGUGUCUCCUGCUGCUCAAGUGCUUAUCAAUGGGUCGGGACGCACAUCGUCUAAAUUAUUUGUACAACGAUUAAUAAAGAGGAACAGCAUAUUGCUUUUAUUUAAUACCUUGCGAAACAGCUGUAAUAUAUUUUAUUUUAGACAUGUUGUAUUAACUGUACUUUUAUGUUUUCUGAUAAAUAAAUAUUUCAUAAAAUUA